UACGGAGGGAGCUAGCGUUAUUCGGAAUUACUGGGCGUAAAGCGUACGUAGGCGGCUUUGUAAGUAAGAGGUGAAAGCCCGGAGCUCAACUCCGGAACUGCCUUUUAGACUGCAUCGCUUGAAUCCAGGAGAGGUGAGUGGAAUUCCGAGUGUAGAGGUGAAAUUCGUAGAUAUUCGGAAGAGCACCAGUGGCGAAGGCGGCUCACUGGACUGGUAUUGACGCUGAGGUACGAAAGCGUGGGGAGCAAACAGG
rnacentral:rRNA from 1 species